UACAGAGGUCUCAAGCGUUGUUCGGAUUCAUUGGGCGUAAAGGGUGCGUAGGUGGCGCUGUAAGUCGGGUGUGAAAUUUCGGAGCUUAACUCCGAAACUGCAUUCGAUACUGCGGUGCUCGAGGACUGGAGAGGAGACUGGAAUUCAUGGUGUAGCAGUGAAAUGCGUAGAGAUCAUGAGGAAGACCAGUGGCGAAGGCGGGUCUCUGGACAGUUCCUGACACUGAGGCACGAGGCCAGGGGAGCAAACAGG
rnacentral:rRNA from 1 species